UACGGGGGGGGCAAGCGUUGUUCGGAAUUACUGGGCGUAAAGGGCUCGUAGGUGGCCAACUAAGUCAGACGUGAAAUCCCUCGGCUUAACCGGGGAACUGCGUCUGAUACUGGAUGGCUUGAGUUUGGGAGAGGGAUGCGGAAUUCCAGGUGUAGCGGUGAAAUGCGUAGAUAUCAGGAGGAACACCGGUGGCGAAGGCGGUUCUCUGGGCAUGAUCUGACGCUGAGGAGCGAAAGUGUGGGGAGCGAACAGG
rnacentral:rRNA from 1 species